ACUUAGAUAGCUUAAGUUUAGAGCGUAACACUGAAAAUGUUAAGGUGAAUUUUAUUUUUUAGGUA
rnacentral:tRNA from 1 species